CCUACGGGAGGCAGCAGUGAGGAAUAUUGGUCAAUGGGCGCGAGCCUGAACCAGCCAAGUCGCGUGAGGGAAGACGGCCCUACGGGUUGUAAACCUCUUUUGCCGGGGAGCAAAGGGCGCCACGUGUGGCGCCACUGAGAGUACCCGGAGAAAAAGCAUCGGCUAACUCCGUGCCAGCAGCCGCGGUAAUACGGAGGAUGCGAGCUUUAUCCGGAUUUAUUGGGUUUAAGGGGUGCGUAGGCGGAGCGUUAAGUCAGUGGUAAAAUUGAGGGGCUCAACCUCUUCCGGCCAUUGAAACUGGCGCUCUUGAGUGGAAGAGAAGGAUGCGGAAUGAGUGGUGUAGCGGUGAAAUGCAUAGAUAUCACGCAGAACCCCGAUUGCGAAGGCAGCAUGCCGGCUUCCUACUGACGCUGAAGCACGAAAGCGUGGGGAUCGAACAGGAUUAGAUACCCUAGUAGUC
rnacentral:rRNA from 1 species